rnacentral:lncRNA from 1 species
GAUCUGUAGCUCUGGUCAGAAUCAGACUCUGAUAGUGAGUCGGUCUACUUUGUCGCUUUGGCCUUAGUAGACCAAAGGUCAUUUUGACGCUUCGGCCUUAAUGAUCUCAAGGGGGAGAAUCCCAAGUUCUUCCUGACACUUCUGUCGCUUCGGCCAGAAGUCGUCAAAUUCGGGGGGGAGUAUCACAAGCUCUUCCUGACACUUUUGUCGCUUCGGCCAGAAGUCGUCAAACUCGGGGGGGAGUAUCACAAACUCUUCCUGACACUUCCGUCGCUUUGGCCAGGAGAUGUCAAACAUUGAGCACGAUAGAUCUGUCGCUUCGGCCAGAUCAAUCGAGGAGAUAUUGAGCAUGGGAAGGAGCGGCACAAGAAGCAGCCCCUCACGGCAAGGUUAGUAAGUCAAUAAAUAUAUCCUUUAGACUGAUACAGUUGUUUUGCAGGUUAUUCUUUUUGUUUUGCAGGAACGAUCUUGUCGCUUUGGCCAGGAUCCACGCAUUCUGUCGCUUCGGCCAGAAUCAGACUCUAAACGAGUCAGUCCAUUUUGUCGCUAUGGCCUCAAUGGACCAAAGAAUUAUUUUGUCGCUUUGGCCUCAAUAAUUCUUCUAUCUUGUCGCUUUGGCCUUGAUAGACUUGGAGAUCAUUUUAUCGCUUUGGCCUUAAUGAUCUCGACCCACUUUGUCGCUUUGGCCUUAGUGGGGUAACCGUCGUUGCGGACGUAAAGUCGCUCUUGAUCAGGGUGGACUAUAAACAUGGGUUCUGAUAGUGAACCAGAUCCUGUCGCUUUGGCCAGGAUCCACGCAUUCUGUCGCUUGGGCCAGAAUCAGACUCUGAUAGUGAGUCGCUCCAUUUUGUCGCUUUGGCCUUAAUGGAUGGGAGUUAUUUUGUCGCUUUGGCCUUAAUAACAUCCUUUCAUCUUGUCGCUUUGGCCUUGAUGAUAACACAGAAAGAGUCGCUCCUGAUCAGAGUCGGACUAUAAACACGUAGUUCUA